rnacentral:rRNA from 1 species
UUCGUAGGUGACCUGCGGAGGAUCAUUAUUGAAUACGAUUGGCACUGAUGCUGGCUCUUUACUGAGCAUGUGCUCGUGUCAUCUUAUUUAUUCUUCUCUUGUGCACAUUUUGUAGUCAACGAUUUGGAGCCUUACGUGCUUUCAUUAGCUGCGUGUCUUGGGACUGACUUUAUUGACUUUCCCUAUUCCACUGCGCACUCAUUGACUUGAGUUGCGGUCUGGGAGUUGUUAACCCUUCUCUCGCUUCGUUGACUAUGUUUUCAUAUACCCUUUAUAAAGUCAUAGAAUGUCUAUUUAACUUGACUUGUGCUCGCCACAGUCGUUAAAACCUAUACAACUUUCAGCAACGGAUCUCUUGGCUCUCCUAUCGAUGAAGAACGCAGCGAAAUGCGAUAAGUAAUGUGAAUUGCAGAAUUCAGUGAAUCAUCGAAUCUUUGAACGCACCUUGCGCCCUUUGGUAUUCCGAAGGGCAUGCCUGUUUGAGUGUCAUUAAAUUAUCAACCUUGAACUCGUUUGCUCGAGUUUCAAGGCUUGGAUGUGAGGGCUUGCUGGCUUCCUUUAGUGGAUGGUCUGCUCCCUUUAAAUACAUUAGUGGGAUCUCUUGUGGACCGUCACUUGGUGUGAUAAUUAUCUACGCCGUUUGACUUUGAAGCAAACUUAUGGGAACCUGCUUAUAACCGUCCAUUGACUUGGACAAUUUACUUUGACAAUUUGACCUCAAAUCAGGUAGGACUACCCGCUGAACUUAAGCAUAUCAAUAAGCGGAGGA